rnacentral:rRNA from 1 species
AUUGAACGCUGGCGGCAUGCCUUACACAUGCAAGUCGAACGGCAGCACGGGAGCAAUCCUGGUGGCGAGUGGCGAACGGGUGAGUAAUAUAUCGGAACGUGCCCAGUCGUGGGGGAUAACGCAGCGAAAGCUGUGCUAAUACCGCAUACGAUCUCUGGAUGAAAGCGGGGGACUCGCAAGGGCCUCGCGCGAUUGGAGCGGCCGAUAUCAGAUUAGCUAGUUGGUGGGGUAAAAGCCCACCAAGGCGACGAUCUGUAGCUGGUCUGAGAGGACGACCAGCCACACUGGAACUGAGACACGGUCCAGACUCCUACGGGAGGCAGCAGUGGGGAAUUUUGGACAAUGGGCGCAAGCCUGAUCCAGCAAUGCCGCGUGCAGGAUGAAGGCCUUAGGGUUGUAAACUGCUUUUGUACGGAACGAAACGGCUCCUUUUAAUACAAGGGGCUAAUGACGGUACCGUAAGAAUAAGCACCGGCUAACUACGUGCCAGCAGCCGCGGUAAUACGUAGGGUGCGAGCGUUAAUCGGAAUUACUGGGCGUAAAGCGUGCGCAGGCGGUUAUAUAAGACAGAUGUGAAAUCCCCGGGCUCAACCUGGGACCUGCAUUUGUGACUGUAUAGCUAGAGUACGGUAGAGGGGGAUGGAAUUCCGCGUGUAGCAGUGAAAUGCGUAGAUAUGCGGAGGAACACCGAUGGCAAAGGCAAUCCCCUGGACCUGUACUGACGCUCAUGCACGAAAGCGUGGGGAGCAAACAGGAUUAGAUACCCUGGUAGUCCACGCCCUAAACGAUGUCAACUGGUUGUUGGGUCUUCACUGACUCAGUAACGAAGCUAACGCGUGAAGUUGACCGCCUGGGGAGUACGGCCGCAAGGUUGAAACUC